UUGAAUUAAAUGUGGAGUUGGUUGUAGCUGGCCUUGAUUCAUUUUCUAGGCAUGUGCACACCUUCUCUUUCAUCCACACACACCUGUGCACCUGUGAGACAGUUAGGGUGGGAGGACUUUAUUGGACUCUCUCCCUCUCUGUCUACUCAAUUUUUACACAAACUCAAUUUAUUUUAAAAUGAAUGUCAUUGAUGUAACGCAUCUAAUAC
rnacentral:misc_RNA from 1 species